rnacentral:lncRNA from 1 species
GCUAGAGGGGCGAUUUGGGGGCGGUGGGCAUCGGCUACGCCAGCGCUGCAGAGCGUAGAGCUUCGCUGAAAUGAUGUCAAAAUGAGCUCGGCUCCACUAAUCAAGUUCGUUCAACUGAAAUAUCCGCUAUUCAGAAAUUCGUUUAACUGAAGUGUUUUUGCAUAGAAUGCAUAGGAAAACCACCGGGGAUUUUCUAAAAGUUUGUUAUUCUGAAAUAUUCGUUAAACCAACGUUUGUACAACUGAGAGUUUACUGUACUUCAUUGCAGCCUG